rnacentral:rRNA from 1 species
UACGUAGGGUGCAAGCGUUGUCCGGAAUUAUUGGGUGUAAAGAGCUCGUAGGCGGUCUGUCGCGUCGGCUGUGAAAUCCCGAGGCUCAACCUCGGGUCUGCAGUCGAUACGGGCAAACUAGAGUAUUGCAGGGGAGACUGGAAUUCCUGGUGUAGCGGUGAAAUGCGCAGAUAUCAGGAGGAACACCGGUGGCGAAGGCGGGUCUCUGGGCAAUAACUGACGCUGGAGGAGCGAAAGCGUGGGGAGCAAACAGG